UGCUCCCGUCUCCGCUGAACGUGGCCGACGGCUACGUGACGCUCACGCAGACGUCAACGUCAUCACGUACACUCUCGCGCGGAUCUGGGCGGCCUGAAACACUUAGCGGCUGAAUCCCUCCCUUGAGCUGCUUCCGUCUUGCAGGGGCCCGAGUCCUACGGCCUUAGGCUUUGUUUGGAAACCAACUGGCUGCCUGGACGUUUUGGGAAGAAAGGAAUGACAAAAUUCUAGGCCAGCAAUUCCCAAAGUGUGGUCCCAGGAGCAUCACCAGGAAUUUGUUAAAAUGCAAAUUCUCUGGCGGUUUCCCAGACUUACUGCAUUUGAAACUCCCGGAUGGGGCCCAGCAAUCUGAUUACAGAGCCCUGCAGUUUAUUAUUUAUUCUGAAAGAGAGAGAGAAUCCCAAGCAGGCUCCGCACUGGCAGUGCAGUGCUGGAACUCAGGAACUGCAAGAUCAUGACCUGAGUUGAAACCAAGAGUUGGACACUUAACCAACUGAGCCACCCAGGCACCCCUAGAACGUUUUCAUUUAAGACAGAAGCUCUGAACCAAUCUGGGUUGUGGUUCCUGUUUGCCUGCGUUUUCCAGUGAGAGAGUGAUGUGUUAACAACAGCUGUAAUGAUUUCUCUAAUGAAGCCUCCUUGGCUCUGUUGGGUUCCCAUUAACAACGGUUGAGCGCUACUGCCCUCUUGUGGUGGAUGGACGCCAGAUUUUGCCGCUUGGCAGAUGACAAGAGCCAGAUUGCACAAGAUGACUUGGACUAGAGAUGGAAAGGGUCUGCAUGCAUGGGAAAUGGGUCAAGCAUCCAGGCCCCAGGUCUUUACUGAACCCUAAACUAGUUUCCCAGACAGUGUGUGAGUUGUGCUUCUCCAAUAUCUUUCAUACAAUGCCCUUUAAGAGGUAUUUGUCAGAACAAAAGGAAUCUAUUCUGAAACUAAAUGGAUGUUUCCUCCUCUAGAGCCUGAAAUCUGG